rfam:Schistosoma rodhaini strain Burundi genome assembly, scaffold: SROB_contig0000630
AUCCAAUCGACGAGUCCCAAAUAGGACGAAAAGCGCGUCUUGAAU